GUGGGGAAUAUUGGGCAAUGGGCGAAAGCCUGAACCAGCCAUGUCGCGUGAAGGAUGAAUGUCCUAUGGAUUGUAAACUUCUUUUGCAGGAGGGUAAAGUGAGCUACGUGUAGUUCAUUGCAAGUACCCUGCGAAUAAGCAUCGGCUAACUCCGUGCCAGCAGCCGCGGUAAUACGGAGGAUGCGAGCGUUAUCCGGAUUUAUUGGGUUUAAAGGGUGCGUAGGCGGACUAAUUAGUCAGCGGUGAAAUUUUGCGGCUCAACCGUAAAACUGCCGUUGAAACUGUUAGUCUUGAGUGCGGUAGAGGUAGGCGGAAUGUGUGGUGUAGCGGUGAAAUGCUUAGAUAUCACACAGAACACCGAUUGCGUAGGCAGCUUACUGGAGCGCAACUGACGCUGAGGCACGAAAGCGUGGGGAUCGAACAGGAUUAGAAACCCCAGUAGUCC
rnacentral:rRNA from 1 species